rnacentral:rRNA from 1 species
CAGUCGCCACGGUAAUACGUAGGUGGCAAGCGUUGUCCGGAAUUAUUGGGCGUAAAGCGCGCGCAGGCGGAUAGGUCAGUCUGUCUUAAAAGUUCGGGGCUUAACCCCGUGAUGGGAUGGAAACUGCCAAUCUAGAGUAUCGGAGAGGAAAGUGGAAUUCCUAGUGUAGCGGUGAAAUGCGUAGAUAUUAGGAAGAACACCAGUGGCGAAGGCGACUUUCUGGACGAAAACUGACGUUGAGGCGCGAAAGCCAGGGGAGCGAACGGGAUUAGAUACCCCCGUAGUCCCUGUCUCUUAUACA